rnacentral:rRNA from 1 species
AAUCAACGCUGGCGGCGUGCCUAACACAUGCAAGUCGAGCGCGAAAGGGGACUUCGGUCCCUGAGUAGAGCGGCGGACGGGUGAGUAACACGUGGGUAACCUACCCUCGGGUGGGGAAUAACCUAGGGAAACCUGGGCUAAUACCGCAUCAUAUCCCGGGCUCAUAAGAAUCCGGGAUCAAAGCUGGGGACCCUUCGGGGCCUGGCGCCUGAGGAGGGCCCGCGGCCGAUUAGCUUGUUGGUGAGGUAAUGGCUCACCAAGGCAACGAUCGGUAGCCGGCCUGAGAGGGCGGACGGUCACACUGGGACUGAGACACGGCCCAGACUCCUACGGGAGGCAGCAGUGGGGAAUUUUUGUCAAUGGGGGAAACCCUGAACAAGCAACGCCGCGUGGAGGAUGAAGGCCUUCGGGUCGUAAACUCCUGUCGGAGGGGACGAAAGCGGUUGGGGCGAAUAACCUCAGUCGUUGACGGUACCCUAGGAGGAAGCCCCGGCUAACUCCGUG